CUCAGUACUGGGAUGAAUCGCCUUCACAGCUUCUGGCCCCUGGGAGGAAUCACAGUGUGUAGCCCCUUUGCUGCCUCCUUCAUGGUCAUUGGCUCUGAGUUUCUGCUGGUUCCUGUGCUCAAAGGGCUGUCCAAGGGCACAGAUUACUGGGAAUUGGUGUGUGUGGAGGGAGGGUGGAAAAAUGCUAGAAAUAUGGGAUCAUAGCUGGGCCUCAGCUGAUCAAGUGCCCCACCUAGGAAACCGCCCUGACUCGUGGAGAGGGAAUAUCUCUCCAAUCUCCCUCCAAUGUUGUAUGGAAAUAGGUAUUUGCAGAAUUUCAAGCAAGUUAAGGGCAGGAUUCAGUUUCCCUGUUUCUUUCUGAGAUUUGUACCUUGAUGGGAAUUUCUGGCUGCGAUUGAGGGCUUUGUGCUUCACAGGCCUGCUUGUUCUCUGUUACCAUUGUUGGCAGGCUAUGAACCAGGUAGAUUCUCAUAUUCCUAAACUCACAAUUGUUCCGUUUGAAAUAAAAAAGAGAUGCCCUAUUUCUGCCUUAUUAUGGGCUUCAUGUGGUGAUCAAGAUACUCAUUAUAUAAAUCCUGUGUUUCAGGCUUGGAUCUUGCAUGAGGAGCCCCAGGCAAAGUACCAAGAGAGUGCCAGCUAUCCUGGGAAAGCCCUUGGUGAUGUUGCAAGGGUAUUCUGGAAAUGCUCUUGUUAUGAGUCCAAGAAAGGAAAUGGAAACAUUUAAGUGAUUUUUGAAGACUGUACUUGUGUCCCAUCAAUGGCAACCCACUCCAGUACUCUUGCCUGGAAAAUCCCAUGGAUGGAGGAGCCUGGUAGGCUGCAGUCCAUGGGGUCACUAAGAGUCGGACAUGACUGGGCGACUUCACUUUCACUGGCUAAAGCAAGUUCCAUGGUUAGCUCUAGAGUCAGUGUGAGGCCCCUGCUGUCUGCUCCCUAGUACAAAGAUGAGACAGGAACAGGACACCUACAACAGACACUACCAUUUAAAGGGAAAGAACAGGGAGGGGGCACAUUGAAUUGCUGUUCAUAGCAAUUCUAAAAUCAAGGUGGAAAAAUAGUGCCAGGUUCCCCUAUUUCUGGCAGGACUUCAUUCCAGUACCUGCUACUUCAGAGAUGGCGAGUAUGUGUGUGUUUGGCCACAGCACAGCUUGUGGGAUCUUGGUUUUCUGAUCAGGGAUUGAACUCAGGCCCACCACAGUGAAAGCACCAAAUCCUAACCACUGGACUGCCAGGGAGUUCCUGGAUGGUGAACGUCCUUUGAUCGGCACUUAAUUCUGCUUAUUGGGAGUGGCUUUUUAGUUCAUUAUAUUCCAAGGCCCUUGACAUUACCCUCUGAGACAUCUUUAAUUUUCUGUUGCCUUCCUUUGAUCAUACCUGAAGAGAAAAGAUGCCCUUUAAACAAUUUCCCAAAUCUUUUCCUGCCCAGAGGCCUGUUUACAUCUUGAACAAUUUCAACCCAGUCUGGAAGCACUUAUACAAUAUUCUCAAAAAACUUUAUGGGCUUUCUUUGUGUCUGAUUCUAUCCAAGUCCAUUUUCUAAAAGCCACACCCAUUAUUUUAAAAAAGCUUCAUCUUUUCUAUGCUUAACCACUGUUAUUUUGGGUCUGCCAGGCAAUGUUCUUGAUUCCCAGUUCUCUGUGUCCAGCAGACAUGGCCUGUAGGGUAACAUCUAAAGCUUUUAUUUAUAUAGAGUUUUUUAUUGCCCUAUUAGCCAAAGCAAGUCAUAUUGUUAAGCCCAGAGUCAGUAUGAGCAGUCACUACAAAAAGGCACAGAUUCAGGGAAGUAUGAAAAAAUGGAGGCACUGUAAAAUCCAUAUACCAUAAAAAGUAAUUAAGAAAAAGUUUAAUGUGAUUUCUCUGUAUGUGUGUGGAUGUGAACAUAAAUAUCAUACUGUAUGGUAUGAUUCUGCAUCUUGUUAUUUUUAUUCAGUAGUAUCUUUUUUUGUGUUAUUCCUUUUAACUCCUAUAAGAAUUUCAUUAUAUGAAUAUAUAGUGCAUUUUAUUGAGCCAUUUCUGUGAUGAAUGAACAUUUAGGUUAUUUCCAAUUUUUUCACUAUGACUAUUUCAUAAAGUCUGAGAUGUACCAUUUUUUCUCAUUUUAACAUCUCUGAAAUUCAUGAGUUACAAUUAUUUUAGUGUUAUUUUAUUGGCAUACAAAAUAAUGAUGAAUCUUAUAAUCAGUGUUGUAGAUUUGAUGAAAUGUGGCAUAACCAUUGAUGAACAUUUUAUUGGAUUGAUCUCUACAUCAGUUGUAACAAUCAUGUUUUGCCAACCUGAUAGAGUGAAAUGGUAUCUCACUGCAGUAUUUCCUUGAUUACUAGUUAGGGUCAAUAUCACUUUGUGUUUAUUGGCCAUUUAUGUUUCCUUAUUGUGAGUUGCUUGUUUAAACCUGUUUCCUAUUUUUUAAUAGGGUUGUUUUUAUCUUAUUUAUAGAAAUUCUUUAUCAUUGUAGAUUGUAAUCUUUCAUUAGUGCACUGCAAGUAUCUUCUUCCAUUCUGAAGUAUGUUUUUUCACUUUGUUUAUAGUGUUCUUUGUUGUAUAGAUACUUCAAAUUUUAACAGAAUUGAAUUUUAAAAACCAAUAUUUUUAAAAAUAGUUUUGAAUUUUUAUUUCUUGCUCACAAAAUCCUUUAAUAGUACUAUUGUUACUACCUGUAGUACGGGCAUGCUAAGUCACUUCUAAGCUAAGUUGUGUUUGAUUCUUUGAGACCCCAUGGACUGUAGCACACCAGCUUCCUCUGUCCAUGGGGAUUCUCCAGGCAAGAAUACUGGAGUGGGUUGCCAUGCCUCUGCCAGGGGAUCUUCCCAACCCAGGGAUCAAACCCAUGUCUUUUAUGUUUCCUGUAUUGACAGGCAAGUUUUUUUUACCACUAGCGUGCCUGGGAAGACACUACCUGUAGUAACAGGUAAGAAUUAUUGAGCAGCUACUGGGUGUCAGGCAUGGUUUAAGUGCAUUCUAUAUGUGUGUGUGUAUGUGUGUGUAUAUAUACAUAUGUAUAUAUAUUGAACAUUAACUCAUUCAACUAUCACAAUAACCCUAUUGGAUCAGUUCAGUUCAGUUGCGUCUGACUCUUUGUGACCCCAUGGACUGCAGUUCGCCAGGCUUCCCGGUCUAUCACCAACUCCUGGAGCUUGCUCAAGCUCAUGUCCACCGAGUUGGUGAUGCCAUCCGACCAUCUCAUCUGCUUCUCUUCCUGCCUUUAGUCUUUCCCAGCAAUCAGGGUCUUUUCCAAUGAGUCAGUUCUUCACAUUAGGUGGCCAAAGUAUUGGAGUUUCAGCAUCAGUCUUUCCAAUGAAUAUUCAGGACUGAUUUCCUUUAGGAUUGACCGAUUUGAUCUCCUUGCAGUCCAAGGGACUCUCAAGAGUCUUCUCCAACACCACAGUUCAAAAGCAUCAGUUCUUCAGUGUUCAGCUUUCUUUAUGGUUCAACUCUCCCUAUUGGAUAAUUAUUGUUAGUCCCACUCUACACCAAGAAAACUGGAAUCAGCCUGUGGUAGAUUGCAUAAUGCCCCUUCCUUCUCACAGAGAUAAAUAAGCAAAUCCUAAUCCAUGCAAACUGUGAACAUAACCUUACAUGAAAAAGGAGAAAUAUUACUUUACAUGGCAAACAAGGGGAUUAAAUUAGGAUUUUGAGGUGGAGAGGCUAUCCUGGAUUAUCUGGGUAUGCCCCAAAUAAAAUCACAAGUAUCCUUAUGAGAGGGAGGCAGAGGGAGAUGUUACAACACAGAAGAGAAGGCAGUGGGGCCAAGAAGGCAGAGAUUGGAGUGAUGGCAGCCACAAGCCAAGGAAUGCCAAUAGUCACCAGAAAUCAUGACGGAAAGGAAGAUAGAAUAUAAUUUUAUGUUAUUGUUGAUGUGGUUUCUCUCUGUAAUGAUUACCCAUCUAUCCAUUUCUUUAUUGGGUUAUCUUUUUCCUGGGAGUACUUAUAUAGGCUAGAUACUUUGUUAGGUGUGUAGUAAAUGUACUUUUCAGUAUGUAACAUGGCUUUUCAUGUUGUUUAUCUUGUUUUUGUUGUCGUUCAGUCACUAAGUCAUAUGACUCUUUGGAACCCCAUGAAAUGCAGCAUACCAGGCUUCCCUGUCCUUCACUCUUUCCUAGAAUUUGCUUAAGUUCAUGUUCAUUGAGUCAGUGAGCCCAUCCAACCAUAUCAUCAGUCAUCCCUUUCUCCUUCUGCCUUCAGUCUUUCCCAGCAUCAGGGUUUUCCCCAAUGAGUUGGCCCUUCACAUCAGGUGGCCAAAGUAUUAGAUCUUCAGCAUCAGUCCUUCCAAUGAAUAUUCAGGACUGAUUUCCUUUAGGGUUGACUGGUUUGACCUCCUUGUUGUCCAAGAGUCUUCUCCAGCAUCACAGUUCGAAAACAUCAAUUC
ensembl:lncRNA